GACGAACGUUGGCGGCGUGCUUAAUACAUGCAAGUCAACUGAAGCAGUGGUAGCAAUAUCGCCGUGGAGGUGGCGCACGGGUGAGUAACACGUAGGUAAUCUGCCUUCAGGUCUGGCAUAACUCCGGGAAACCGGGGCUAAUAGCAGAUGAUGCAGCGGCUCGACAUCGAGACAGUUGUUAAAGCUAUGGCGCCUGAAGAUGAGCCUGCGUCUGAUUAGCUAGUUGGCGGGGUAACGGCCCACCAAGGCAACGAUCAGUAGCUGGUCUGAGAGGAUGAUCAGCCACACUGGAACUUAGACACGGUCCAGACUCCUACGGGAGGCAGCAGUAAGGAAUAUUGCUCAAUGGGAGAAAUCCUGAAGCAGCAACGCAGCGUGAGGGACGAAGGGCUUUUGCUUGUAAACCUCUGUAGUGAGAGAAAAAAAUCCCAAUCUUUGGGACAUGAUGGUAUCUCAAAAGUAAGCCCCGGCUAACUACGUG
rnacentral:rRNA from 1 species